rnacentral:rRNA from 1 species
AUUGAACGCUGGCGGCAUGCUUUACACAUGCAAGUCGAGCGGCAGCGCGGGGGGCAACCCUGGCGGCGAGCGGCGAACGGGUGAGUAAUGCAUCGGAACGUACCCUGGAGUGGGGGAUAACGCCGCGAAAGCGGCGCUAAUACCGCAUAUGCUCUGAGGAGGAAAGUGGGGGACCGCAAGGCCUCACGCUCUGGGAGCGGCCGAUGUCCGAUUAGCUAGUUGGUGAGGUAAAGGCUUACCAAGGCGACGAUCGGUAGCUGGUCUGAGAGGAUGAUCAGCCACACUGGGACUGAGACACGGCCCAGACUCCUACGGGAGGCAGCAGUGGGGAAUUUUGGACAAUGGGGGCAACCCUGAUCCAGCCAUGCCGCGUGAGUGAAGAAGGCCUC